GAAGUCUGUAGCUCAGUGGUUGGGCACAUGCUCUGCGUGCAAAAGAUGCCAGGUUCAAUUCCUGGCAUCUUCA